rnacentral:rRNA from 1 species
CACGUAGUUAGCCGUGACUUUCUGGUUAGGUACCGUCAAAGUCGGGACAGUUACUCCUCGACUUGUUCUUCUCUAAUAACAGAACUUUACGAUCCGAAGACCUUCUUCAUUCACGCGGCAUUGCUCCAUCAGGUUUGCACCCAUUGUGGAAGAUUCCCUACUGCUGCCUCCCGUAGGAGUCUGGGCCGUGUCUCAGUCCCAGUGUGGCCGAUCACCCUCUCAGGUCGGCUACGUAUCAUGGUCUUGGCAGGCCAUUACCCCACCAACUAACUAAUACGCCGCGGGAUCAUCUAAAAGCGACAGCAAAGCCGUCUUUCUUUCCAGAACCAUGCGGUUCAAGAAUCUAUGCGGUAUUAGCAUCCGUUUCCGAAUGUUAUCCCCCAUCUUAGGCAGUAUUUCCCACGUUGUUACUCACCCGUUCGCCACUCAUCCGCACUCUGCAAGCAGAGUGCUUCGAGCGUUCGACUUGCUAUGUAUUAGGCAGUGCCGCAGCCGUUCUUCCG